rnacentral:sRNA from 1 species
GGGGAUGAGCUGGGCUGGCUUCCGUUCUGGUAGCCAAGGCUAAUUCUCCCUCGAGUUCUUGGGAGAUGGGCAUUUGGCGAGAAGGCUGGCGUUAGUGAAGCGCGCCCGGCGUCACGGUGAGUGCGGGUCUUGGGCCCUAGCACCUGUUCUCUGGGAAGUCGUCCGCUGUGAACGAUGAACGCCUUUCCUUCCACCAGCUGCUGGUUACCCCGGAGACAAGCUCUGUCCGCGGAGAGGAGUGGGACAACUCCUAAAGGAAAGAACCACUUGUAAGGAAAUAUAGCAUCCAUUGUGAAAGUGGAAAAGUAAAGGUAAUUCAUCAUGCCUGCUGUGGCUUCAGUUCCUAAAGAACUCUACCUCAGUUCUUCACUAAAAGACCUUAAUAAGAAGACAGAAGUUAAACCAGAGAAAAUAAGCACUAAGAGUUAUGUGCACAGUGCCCUGAAGAUCUUUAAGACAGCAGAAGAAUGCAGAUUAGAUCGUGAUGAGGAAAGGGCCUAUGUACUAUAUAUGAAAUACGUGACUGUUUAUAAUCUUAUCAAAAAAAGACCUGAUUUCAAGCAACAGCAGAGUCUCUGUUGCAUUUCCAAAGGGAGUAUGUAGGCAGAGAAGUCCA